rnacentral:rRNA from 1 species
UGGGGAAUAUUGGACAAUGGGCGAAAGCCUGAUCCAGCCAUGCCGCGUGUGUGAAGAAGGUCUUCGGAUUGUAAAGCACUUUAAGUUGGGAGGAAGGGCAGUAAGCGAAUACCUUGCUGUUUUGACGUUACCGACAGAAUAAGCACCGGCUAACUCUGUGCCAGCAGCCGCGGUAAUACAGAGGGUGCAAGCGUUAAUCGGAAUUACUGGGCGUAAAGCGCGCGUAGGUGGUUCGUUAAGUUGAAUGUGAAAGCCCCGGGCUCAACCUGGGAACUGCAUCCAAAACGGGCGAGCUAGAGUAGGGCAGAGGGUGGUGGAAUUACCUGUGUAGCGGUGAAAUGCGUAGAUAUAGGAAGGAACACCAGUGGCGAAGGCGACCACCUGGGCUCAUACUGACGCUGAGGUGCGAAAGCGUGGGGAGCAAACAGG